GACGAACGCUGGCGGCGUGCUUAACACAUGCAAGUCGAACGGAAAGGCCCUGCUUGCAGGGUACUCGAGUGGCGAACGGGUGAGUAACACGUGGGUGAUCUGCCCUGCACUUCGGGAUAAGCCUGGGAAACUGGGUCUAAUACCGGAUAUGACCUUCCAUGUAGUGUGGGGGUGGAAAGAUUUAUCGGUGUGGGAUGAGCCCGCGGCCUAUCAGCUUGUUGGUGGGGUAAUGGCCUACCAAGGCGUCGACGGGUAGCCGGCCUGAGAGGGUGGACGGCCACAUUGGGACUGAGAUACGGCCCAGACUCCUACGGGAGGCAGCAGUGGGGAAUAUUGCACAAUGGGCGGAAGCCUUAUGCAGCGACGCCGCGUGGGGGAUGACGGCCUUCGGGUUGUAAACCUCUUUCGACAGGGACGAAGCUUCGGUGACGGUACCUGUAUAAGAAGCACCGGCUAACUACGUG
rnacentral:rRNA from 1 species